rnacentral:lncRNA from 1 species
GAAGUGCUGUGUGGUAGAUCCAGCGUUCGGGUCUCUGUGGCCUGUGGAGAGGACGCACCACAGACUGCCCUGUGCCGCCUGGGCCAAACUGCCCCAGGCUAAGCUGUGCGUUUUUUGGAGCCUACCACAUUGCCUACCCGACGGUCCACCAGGCCCAGGACUGAACAGUAUCCUCUGCGGAGAAAGCAGCUGUGGAAACAGACAUUGAGGAAGCUGUAUCUUCUGGACUUGAAGUCUUUCAAAAACAACUAACAUGCUGUGAGCUGGUGAGACAGCUCAGUGGGUAGGAUGCUUGCCCCAGCCUGUCUCCUCUUAGCCUCUGUCUUACACAUUCUAUAAUGUGUGUUUUCCUAGGAGGGAGCAGUAACAGCUUCUCUUAGGACUUUACCUCCACAGAUGUUCCACUGACUUUUAAGUAUGGAAGUGACCAGUGCUCCUGUAAAGACAUGGACAAAAGUUUUUUGCAGAGACUCCAAACUGUAUUCCAUAAAAACUGUAUGAUUAGCCGGGCAUUGGUGGCGCACGCCUUUAAUCCCAGCACUCAGGAGGCAGAGGCAGGUGGAUCUCUGUGAGUUCGAGACCAGCCUGGUCUACAAGAGCUAGUUCCAGGACAGCCUCCAAAGCCACAGAGAAACCCUGUCUCGAAAAACCAAACAAACAAACAAACAAACAAACAAACAAAAAACAAAAAAACUGUAUGAAUUUAUAUUCCCACAAAAAAUGGUUCCUAUUUCUUAACAACCUUGCCAGCAUUUGUUAUUUUUCUCAUGGUGAUCAUCAUUCUAACUAGGGACUACAUGACGUUUCUUGAAAACAAAUACUAGUUUUCUCCAAAGUGGGAAUUUACACUAUGAUGGGCCUGUAUCAUUUACUCAUUUAGAGGUUUGUAUGCAGUGUUGCUCAGAAACAAAACCAGGAGAUGUCAGGAGAAGACAGACAAGAGCACAAAAGAGCCCUCAUCCAGUGGCUGAUGGAAGCAGAGGCAAACAUCCACAGAUAUACUCUGAACUGAACUCUGGAACCCAGUUGCAGAAAGGGAGGAAUGAAGAACAAAGGGGUUGGUACCAGGCUGGUGAAAGCCACAGAACCAGCUGGACUGAACAAGGGAGAGCACAUGGACCCCAGAUUGCUGUCUGGGAGACCAGCACAGGACUGAAUUAGACCCCUGAACAUGGAUGUCAAUGAGGAGGCCUCCACACUCUAGGGGGGCCCUGGUAGUGGAUUGGCAUUUUCCCUGGUGUAAGAAGGGACUUUGAGAGUCCAUUCUACAUGAAGGGAUGCACUCUUGGCCUGGACACAUGGGGAAGGGCCUAGGCCUGGGCCACGAUGAUGUGGUGGACUUUGGGGAGCCUACCCUGCCUGGGGAGUGGAGGAUGGAUGGGUUGGGAGGGUAGGUGAGGGGUUGAGGGGGAGGGAUAGGGGGAGUGGAGGGGGAAGGGAUUGACAUGUGAGGCAAGCUUGUUCCUAAUUUGAACUAAAAAUUUUUAAAAUUAAAAAAUAAAAUAAAAAGAUUGGACUGUAGGCAAGUCUAUAGGAUAUUUUCUUAACCAGUGGUUGAUAGGGAGGGCCCAGCUCAUGAUGGGUGGUGCCAUCCUUGGACUGGUGUUUCUGAGUUCUAUAAGAAAGAAGGUCGAGCAAGCCAUGAGAAGUAAGUCAGUAAUCAGCACUCCUCCAUGGCCUCUGCAUCAGCUCCUGCCUACAGGUUCCUGCCCUGUUUGAGAUCCUGUCCUGACUUCCUUCAAUGAUGG